rnacentral:rRNA from 1 species
AUGCAAGUCGAACGGUAACAGGAAGCAGCUUGCUGCUUCGCUGACGAGUGGCGGACGGGUGAGUAAUGUCUGGGAAACUGCCUGAUGGAGGGGGAUAACUACUGGAAACGGUAGCUAAUACCGCAUAACGUCGCAAGACCAAAGAGGGGGACCUUAGGGCCUCUUGCCAUCGGAUGUGCCCAGAUGGGAUUAGCUAGUAGGUGGGGUAACGGCUCACCUAGGCGACGAUCCCUAGCUGGUCUGAGGGGAUGACCAGCCACACUGGAACUGAGACACGGUCCAGACUCCUACGGGAGGCAGCAGUGGGGAAUAUUGCACAAUGGGCGCAAGCCUGAUGCAGCCAUGCCGCGUGUAUGAAGAAGGCCUUCGGGUUGUAAAGUACUUUCAGCGGGGAGGAAGGGAGUAAAGUUAAUACCUUUGCUCAUUGACGUUACCCGCAGAAGAAGCACCGGCUAACUCCGUGCCAGCAGCCGCGGUAAUACGGAGGGUGCAAGCGUUAAUCGGAAUUACUGGGCGUAAAGCGCACGCAGGCGGUUUGUUAAGUCAGAUGUGAAAUCCCCGGGCUCAACCUGGGAACUGCAUCUGAUACUGGCAAGCUUGAGUC